AAAUGUGGGUAGUCGCUGCUGCGGUCGUUUUCGAUCGGCAGUAGAGGAAAGUCCAGGCUCGCCCAAGCUGAGAUGCUUGGAGUGUUCGUACCUGGUGCAAACCAGGGCAGCGAGGUUCGCUUCGCUGACGGCGUGGAAAAGGCUCUCUCUGAGGCCUGAGUACGCUGAAAGUGCCACAGAAACGUAGCUUUUCUGGCGACAGAAAAGAUGGAACGCGGUAAACCCUGCGAGCGAGAAACCCAAAUUUGGUAGGGGAACCGUCCUGAAGGAACUGAACGUAGGGACGGAUGGCGUCAUUGACGUCAUAGAUAGAUGGCUACCGCUCUAUGUGCGAGGGGCAACCCGCUUGCAGCACGAGAGAAACAGAACCUGGCUUAUAGCA
rnacentral:RNase_P_RNA from 1 species